GUCAGAAUACACGCUCAAUGUAUUGUGAGUGCAAUUUCAUGUUUAUCCUUGUUAUGUUCUCUGCCUGACAUAAAAUAGCCUUGGCUUAUGAUCUUACAGCGUGGGCUUAUACUAUGAAUCAUGCAUGGCAAAUAAAAUACCUAGAGGUAAAAUACAACAAAAACCCAACAAAAGAUAGAAAACUUCAAAAACACACACUGAUCCAGUAC